rnacentral:rRNA from 1 species
GGGGAAUAUUGCACAAUGGGGGAAACCCUGAUGCAGCGACGCCGCGUGAAGGAAGAAGUAUCUCGGUAUGUAAACUUCUAUCAGCAGGGAAGAUAAUGACGGUACCUGACUAAGAAGCCCCGGCUAACUACGUGCC